AACGAACGCUGGCGGCGUGGAUAAGACAUGCAAGUCGAACGGGGCAAUUUUGUAGCAAUACAGGGUUGUUCAGUGGCGAACGGGUGCGUAACACGUGGGUAAUAUGCCGGGAAGCAAGGAAUAGCCCAGGGAAACUUGGAUUAAUACCUUAUGUGGUCGCAAGACUAAAGGCGGGGCAACCUGUCACUUCCUGAUUAGCC
rnacentral:rRNA from 1 species